rnacentral:rRNA from 1 species
UACGUAGGGUGCAAGCGUUAUCCGGAAUUAUUGGGCGUAAAGAGCUCGUAGGCGGUUUGUCGCGUCUGCUGUGAAAACUGGAGGCUCAACCUCCAGCCUGCAGUGGGUACGGGCAAACUAGAGUGCGGGUAGGGGAGAUUGGAAUUCCUGGUGUAGCGGUGGAAUGCGCAGAUAUCAGGAGGAACACCGAUGGCGAAGGCAGGAUCUCUGGGCCGUAACUGACGCUGAUGCACGAAAGUGUGGGGAUCAAACAGGA